UACGGAGGGUGCAAGCGUUAAUCGGAAUUACUGGGCGUAAAGCGUGCGUAGGCGGUUCGUUAAGUCUGUUGUGAAAGCCCCGGGCUCAACCUGGGAAUGGCAAUGGAUACUGGCGAGCUAGAGUGUGUCAGAGGAUGGUGGAAUUCCCGGUGUAGCGGUGAAAUGCGCAGAUAUCGGGAGGAACACCAGUGGCGAAGGCAGCACUCUGGGCCGGAACUGACGCUGAGGAGCGAAAGCGUGGGGAGCGAACAGG
rnacentral:rRNA from 1 species